rnacentral:sRNA from 1 species
AUGUUGUGCUUUUGCUCCUAGCUAAGCUCUCCUCGUCUUCUUCUUCUUCUUCUUCUUCUUCUCAUCUACAACUACCUCUCCCUCACUUUUGCAUUGCCUCCAAGAAGCCAUAUUAAAGGAUCCUACGACUCCUUCCUCUCCCUCCUGCUCCUCCUCUUCUCAUCUCCUUCACUUCUGCUUCUGCAUGAAACCAAGAAAAAAAAACUAGUUGCUUACUUGCUUUGCAUAGUUAGCUAGCUGUUGUGUUUCUCUGAUCCCAUGUCCUCAUGAACUCUUGUUUGAUCCUAGUGAGGUGAGAGUACUUGAGAGGGAGUGUAUUGAUUGGAUUGCUGUUUUUAUCUCUGAUGAUUUGCCUUGUUUUGCUGAUCUGAAUGCUGAUCGUUGGGGGAUUGUUCUGCUCUCUAUGUGGGAACGGGAUAUUGGUGCGGUUCAAUCAGAAAGCUUGUGCUCCGAAGGCGAGGGGCUCCACUCUUUGAUUGAGCCGUGCCAAUAUCACGUCGCCUUUGCAGCUGCUCGUUUGUUUAUGUAAGGAUGUUUUUUUCAUUAUUUCUUUUAAUCCGUUUAGAUCUUUCCCUGUCAGGUUUAUGGUUUUGUACUCGUUUAUUAUGAGUUCAACAAUGUGAUAGAGACCUUCUUUUUCUGGUUUUCAGAGGAACUGAUGCUAGAUGUUUAUGAACUGUUUUCUAUCCAUGUACUGUUAGUACGUAGGAGUAAAUUAAGAAACUGUUGCUGUUACGCAUGUGCUCAUCCUUCUCUGAUUUGUUAAUUUGAUACUCCCUCUUGUCAGAUAAGUUAGUUCUUGAUUUCAUGCUACUAGCAAACUGCAGCCUCUCAGACUAAGUUCUGUUGACAUGAUUCAUUUUAAAGCUUGUCGAUCCGUCAUUAGUUAUUCAGAUUUUACAGUCGCAUAAUUUUUCUAGUGUUUACAUGCAUGGUGUGGCUGAAAAGAAGUGUAGUUCAGUAAUAUCUGAUUACAUUCUUCAGGUAUAUCUGAUGUGAUAUUUAGGUACUUCCUCUGUUUCACAAUGUAAGAUUUGAUUUUCUAGCAUUCCCCAUAUUCAUUUAGAUGUUAAUGAAUCUAGACAUAUGUAUGUGUUUGAUUCAUUAAUAUCUAUAUGUAUGUGGACAAUGCUAGAAAGUUUUACAUUGUAAAACGGAGGGAAUAGCAAUGUCGAUGCAGUAUAUAUACCCCUAUCUGAUUAUACGAUGAAAUUGAGGAAUAACCUUGUGGCCCUGUAGUUUAUUAUAUUUCCCACUUCCAUCCAAUUCAUACGACAAAGUUGUUGCUGCUUUUCCAGCUGCUUUUUUGGCACAAAAGCGCAGUGAACACACUUUAAACUUAGCUAAGCUCUCAGUGUAGCAAUCGUCUCAUGCGGAACGGCAUAAAAGGCAAUGUUGAGAGUGCACGUAAGAUCGAUUAGAAGGAUCAAAAGAUAGUAGUAGAGACAAAAGAGUGCAUGACCAUUGUUCUGUGUGCUACAUAGUAUUUGCAGUGUCUGAACUUGAAAAGCUGAUCACAAGUGCCCAAAGGGAGACAGACAGACAGAUCCACAUCGAUCGCAAGUCUUUGCCUACGAUAAAGAUCUUAGUAAGCUUGGAAGAGAGCUUGCAGAAAGAGCAUCUCAAAAGGACGUACAAUUGGAGCAAGCGAGCUUUUCAUGUCGCCAUCUUUUUCUGACCUUCAUUUGUAAAGAAGUACUGUAAUUUUCUAGUGUAAUAAUGACAAUGCAAAUCCCAUUAUAU